rnacentral:tRNA from 1 species
CAUGCGAUAGCUCAGUUGGUAGAGCGGGGGACUGUAGAUUUAUAAUUGUGAUCCCUAGGUCGCUGGUUCGAAUCCGGCUCGAAGGA